UACGAAGGGGGCUAGCGUUGCUCGGAAUCACUGGGCGUAAAGGGCGCGUAGGCGGCGUUUUUAAGUCGGGGGUGAAAGCCUGUGGCUCAACCACAGAAUGGCCUUCGAUACUGGGACGCUUGAGUAUGGUAGAGGUUGGUGGAACUGCGAGUGUAGAGGUGAAAUUCGUAGAUAUUCGCAAGAACACCGGUGGCGAAGGCGGCCAACUGGACCAUUACUGACGCUGAGGCGCGAAAGCGUGGGGGAGCAAACAGG
rnacentral:rRNA from 1 species